rnacentral:rRNA from 1 species
UACGAGUGCCCCGAGCGUUAUCCGGAAUCAUUGGGCGUAAAAGGUGUGUAGGUGGCAGUGUUAGUCGUCUGCUAAAGCCUGGGGCUCAACCCCCAGUUCUGCGGUCGAAACGGCACAGCUAGAGGAUGGCAGGGAUGUAUGGAACUCAUGGAGUAGGGGUGAAAUCCGUUGAUAUCAUGGGGAACACCGAAAGCGAAGGCAGUACAUUGGGCCACUCCUGACACUGAAACACGAAAGCGUGGGUAGCGAAUGGG